rnacentral:rRNA from 1 species
AGUGAACGCUGGCGGUAGGCCUAACACAUGCAAGUCGAACGGCAGCACAGUAAGAGCUUGCUCUUACGGGUGGCGAGUGGCGGACGGGUGAGGAAUACAUCGGAAUCUACUUUUUCGUGGGGGAUAACGUAGGGAAACUUACGCUAAUACCGCAUACGACCUACGGGUGAAAGCAGGGGAUCUUCGGACCUUGCGCGAUUGAAUGAGCCGAUGUCGGAUUAGCUAGUUGGCGGGGUAAAGGCCCACCAAGGCGACGAUCCGUAGCUGGUCUGAGGGGAUGAAAGGCCCCCCGGGACAUAGGCACGGGUCAAGCUUCCUAGGGGAGCCGCAGGUGGGAAAAUUUGGCCAAGGGGGGAAAGCCUAUCCAGGCAAUCCGCGGUGGUUGAAGAAGGCUUUGGGUUGUAAAGGCCCUUUUGUUGGGAAAGAAAGGAAGCAGGUAAAAACCCCGCUGUUCUGCCGGUACCAAAGGAAUAGGCACCGGCUACCUUCUU